rnacentral:rRNA from 1 species
GACGAACGCUGGCGGCGUGCUUAACACAUGCAAGUCGAACGGAAAGGCCCUGCUUUUGUGGGGUGCUCGAGUGGCGAACGGGUGAGUAACACGUGAGUAACCUGCCCUUGACUUUGGGAUAACUUCAGGAAACUGGGGCUAAUACCGGAUAGGAGCUCCUGCUGCAUGGUGGGGGUUGGAAAGUUUCGGCGGUUGGGGAUGGACUCGCGGCUUAUCAGCUUGUUGGUGGGGUAGUGGCUUACCAAGGCUUUGACGGGUAGCCGGCCUGAGAGGGUGACCGGCCACACUGGGACUGAGAUACGGCCCAGACUCCUACGGGAGGCAGCAGUGGGGAAUAUUGCACAAUGGGCGGAAGCCUGAUGCAGCAACGCCGCGUGCGGGAUGACGGCCUUCGGGUUGUAAACCGCCUUCGCCUGUGACGAAGCGUGAGUGACGGUAAUGGGUAAAGAAGCACCGGCUAACUACGUG